CAAAUACUCCCUCCGUUCGGAAUUACUUGUCUCGGAAAUGGAUGUAUCUAGAACUAAAAUACGUCUAGAUACAUCCAUUUCCACGACAAGUAAUGCCGAACGGAGAGAGUACAAA
rfam:Triticum aestivum genome assembly, contig: Triticum_aestivum_CS42_TGACv1_scaffold_168646_2DL